rnacentral:misc_RNA from 1 species
AAGUCGUAACAAGGUUUCCGUAGGUGAACCUGCGGAAGGAUCAUUAACGUAUCUACUGGCGGUGGUCGCUCUCCCUGCUCCGGCUUCGGUCGUGCAGCGGGCGUUUGGCCCCGUCAAACCUUCACAAACCCACUGUGCACCUUUGCGGCGGAGGCUCCCGAGCGAGAGUUCGGUUGCCGAAGCCGCCCCACUAAACCCUCAGUAAAAAGAAUGUGAAGCGGCCUCCGAGUCGCCUAAUCAACAUAACAACUUUCAACAACGGAUCUCUUGGCUCUC